UUAAAACUUUCAACAACGGAUCUCUUGGUUCUGGCAUCGAUGAAGAACGCAGCGAAAUGCGAUAAGUAAUGUGAAUUGCAGAAUUCAGUGAAUCAUCGAAUCUUUGAACGCACAUUGCGCCCCUUGGUAUUCCGGGGGGCAUGCCUGUUCGAGCGUCAUUACACCACUCAAGCUCGGCUUGGUAUUGGGCCU
rnacentral:rRNA from 1 species